rnacentral:RNase_P_RNA from 1 species
UAAGUAUUCUAGACGGUCGCUCUUUGAUAAUUAUCAUAAGAGAGGAAAGUCCGGACUCCAUGUCAGUUCUGUACACAAUCAGAAUAGGCGCUCACGGGAGUGAGGUGGGUGUGAACUUACGGAGAAAACUGCAUAUUCGUGAGAAUAUCAGCUACUACAAGUUCAAAAAAUUUGUAGUGGGGGCAACAGAAAGUAUACCGCCUUAUUUAUAGGGUAAGGGUGAAAUGGUGCUUAAUAGAAAUAUUAAGAUCGUGCAAACGAUGUGUAAGAGACCACCGCGUAAGUAGUGAUACUUUACGGCACGGUAACCCCCGCCUGGAGCAAGGAAAAAUCCGCACUGCUUUUAGCAGAAAGUAAUUUUUAUUACUUUAGAUAGAUGGCCGUUUAAACAGAAUCCGGCUUAUUGGAUACUUAUGUA